UACGGAGGGCGCGAGCGUUGUCCGGAAUCACUGGGCGUAAAGGGCGCGUAGGCGGCCCUGGUAAGUCUGCGGUGAAAGCCCAGGGCUCAACCCCGGGUCGGCCGCGGGUACUGCCGGGCUGGAGUGCCGUAGGGGCAGGCGGAAUUCCGGGUGUAGCGGUGGAAUGCGUAGAGAUCCGGAAGAACACCGGUGGCGAAGGCGGCCUGCUGGGCGGCGACUGACGCUGAGGCGCGACAGCGUGGGGAGCAAACAGG
rnacentral:rRNA from 1 species